GCAAGCUGAGGUCUCUCUCCUGCAUGCGUUCCUGCUCAGCUGGGAAUCAUCAAGCAAGACUGGAGCGGCAACCCCUGCAGACAGUGACUUGCAGAGACUGGAUUUAUAUGCUUCUUUGAAGAUUUCCACACCUCAGUAAUAAAGGACUUGCAUGAAUGAGUGAAGGAAUGAACUAAGGUAAAUGGCUGUUGAUGAUAAUUGAUUUUUUCCACAGGGCUCUCACCUGGGGCUU
rnacentral:lncRNA from 1 species